GAUGGAUUGGAUUAAAUUAGCAUGUUAUCCUUCAAAUAUUCCCAACACAGUUCUAUUUCUGUGGCUAGCAAGUCAAAAUAGGCUUGCCUAAAGCAGUAGAACGCUGAAGCGUAGUUAUUUCAUUUCUCCUUCUACAGUUUUCUGCCGUUGCGUUGUUGAAACAAGCGACAUGUUUUAAUUGCCUAUUAGAAAGCAGAUUUGGCAGCAUCCAUUAGGUUUAUAAAGCAGGAUAAGUGGGGAAUAGAAUUUUGAGUUUAAUUGCAGGGAAAGCCUUCCUUCUUUGCUCUUGAAGUGGGCUUGGAAAACACAUGUAGAUCAUGUUUGGAUUUCUGACAGUACUAAGUUUCACGAUACAUCCAUUACUCGUUCUGGCGAGUUUGGCUGGCUCCUGUUAGUGAUAUUAGAGGAAGAGAGUGACGUGCCAUUUAAAUGAGUCCUUGUGUAUUAGAUGGGGCAUUUGCAGGUAAUCCAUUCUGAUGCCACUUUUUUGGGAUCCAAGUAG
rnacentral:lncRNA from 1 species